rnacentral:rRNA from 1 species
GUCCACGCCGUAAACGAUGGGCACUAGGUGUAGGAGGUAUUGACCCCUUCUGUGCCGAAGCUAACGCAUUAAGUGCCCCGCCUGGGGAGUACGGCCGCAAGGCUAAAACUCAAAGGAAUUGACGGGGGCCCGCACAAGCGGUGGAGCAUGUGGUUUAAUUCGACGCAACGCGAAGAACCUUACCUGGACUUGACAUGCCCUGGAAUCCCCCGGAAAUGGGGGAGUACCCGCAAGGGACCGGGACACAGGUGCUGCAUGGCUGUCGU